UGUAACCGGUUACUCGUUAACAUGUACAUAUUGUCCCACCCUUAACUCCUGUACUCAUUUUCAUAGGUUUUUAGUUAGGAUUAAUCCGGACUCCACCAAGUGCAGUGCCAAGGAGCAGAUGAGCCGGAAGACUGGGAGAGUGGUGAAGCGGAAGACUUCAUACAUGAACCCCCAAUCUCCUUCAUCAGGGACUUCACUGAGUUCGAUUGGCAAACUGACUAGAUGCAGGGCUCCAACUGGGAUCUGGGUCUCCAAGUUCAGGGCAAGCAAGAGGCCAUAGACUUUUAUUUCAAGUGUGAGGGGAAUGAGAAGAUUUUACAGUGUCCUGAUGCAUUGUUCAUGCAAAUGUUCAGUAUUUUAAAGUAAAUGUAUAAUUGUGAAGCUCGGCUGACGUAACGAGCUUUUUUAUUUUUGAUUUCUUGUUUCUAAUGUUUCAGGCGUGCCUGGGUAGUUGCAGUAGUCAGACAAAGUAGAGGUGUCUCUUUCAUUGUUGUGUUGGUUCUGAAGUGGUACUUGGUCUGAAAAGUUUGGUAACCUGUGCUUUAUCAUGUUCCUGUUCACCAAAUGUCUUAAAUAAAUAAUUGUGUUAACAA